GCUCUUCAAGGUGGAGCUAUCGCCCCAAUGGAAAUAAAUGUUCAAAGGUCGUAAACGCUGCGGACAGUCACACCAUGCUGAAAUAUGGAUAAUAUGCGAUGUUACACCGGUGCUCUCUUCAGUGAACCCGCUCGGACCGCAUCGUUUAUCGAAUCAGAAUUCCUUUAUUUAUCCCUGAGGGAGAAGGUGGUCUGGUCUGUGAAUUAUGUCUUCUUUUGCAUCGUGUGGAUGCAUCACAUACCUGGAGAAGACAUCAGCCUUUUUAUAAGUGAACAGUCAGUUCUACCUGCUGAGCCACUGAUUUCUGUCCAACUUGAUCCCAGCCUGCUCUGAUAAUCAGGACACUGAAACCCGUGAGAAUCAAAGGCAAGAUAGCGCCAUUUCCCAUUAUGGCCUAUGAAGGAAAUACAUGCUAUAUUCCUAAUUUCCACUAGGGGCACUGUAUGGAGGAAGGCGCACCACUGACGCAAGUAAAACGAUGUCUGUCAGUUCAAUGUCAAAGAGUGGUGUGUGUGUGUGUGUGUGUGUUUGUUCAUCUUCACUUGUUUUGUGAUGGUGUGCUACUCCACAUGUCAAUUCUCUCUCAGCUCUCACAAGCAAAGCUGAGUUUAGCAUUAACUUCAGGGAAGAGCUUCUGAAGUACUUUAUAGAUGCCUUUGAGUUCCUGAGGAUACCUGAGGUUUAUCAACCAUUAAGAAUGCACAGCAGAUGCGAUGUCUUCCAGCUCAUGAAGGACUUCAACACAAUGGAUCACUAUUUCAACAUCAGCUGGAUGCGGUAGAUGCUGGACGACAUGCUCAA